AUACGGAGGAUCCGAGCGUUAUCCGGAUUUAUUUGGUUUAAAGGGAGCGUAGGUGGAUUGUUAAGUCAGUUGUGAAAGUUUGCGGCUCAACCGUAAAAUUGCAGUUGAAACUGGCAGUCUUGAGUACAGUAGAGGUGGGCGGAAUUCGUGGUGUAGCGGUGAAAUGCUUAGAUAUCACGAAGAACUCCGAUUGCGAAGGCAGCUCACGAGACUGUUACUGACACUGAUGCUCGAAAGUGUGGGUAUCAAACAGGAUUAGAUACCCUGGUAGUCCACACAGUAAACGAUGAAUACUCGCUGUUUGCGAUAUACAGUAAGCGGCCAAGCGAAAGCAUUAAGUAUUCCACCUGGGGAGUACGCCAGCAACGGUGAAACUCAAAUGAAUUGACGGGG
rnacentral:rRNA from 1 species